rnacentral:rRNA from 1 species
AUUGAACGAUGGCGGCAGGCCUAACACAUGCAAGUCGAGCGGAGGGGCGGACGGGUGAGUAAUGCCUAGGAAUCUGCCUGGUAGUGGGGGAGAACGUCCGGAAAGGGGAGCUAAUACCGCAUACUAUCAGAUGAGCCUAGGUCGGAUUAUCUAGUUGGUGGGGGAAAGUCCUAACAAGGCGACGAUCCUUAACUCGUCUGAGAGGAGGAUCAGUCACCCUGGAACUGAGACACGGUCCAGACUCCUACGGGAGGCAGCCGUGGGGAAUAUUGGACGAUGGGCGCAAGCCUGAUCCAGCCAUGCCGGGUGUGUGAAGAAGGUCUUCGGAUUGUAAAGCACUUUAAGUUGUGAUGCGUUACCAACAGAAUAUGCCCCGGCUAACUUCGUGCCAGCAGCCGCGGUAAUUC